rnacentral:rRNA from 1 species
AGUGAACGCUGGCGGUAGGCCUAACACAUGCAAGUCGAACGGCAGCACAGUAAGAGCUUGCUCUUACGGGUGGCGAGUGGCGGACGGGUGAGGAAUACAUCGGAAUCUACUUUUUCGUGGGGGAUAACGUAGGGAAACUUACGCUAAUACCGCAUACGACCUACGGGUGAAAGCAGGGGAUCUUCGCACCUUGCGCGAUUGAUUGAGCCGAUGUCGGGUUAGCUAGUUGGCGGGGUAAAGGCCCACCAAGGCGACGCUCCGUAGCUGGUCUGAGAGGAUGAUCAGCCACACUGGAACUGAGACACGGUCCAGACUCCUACGGGAGGCAGCAGUGGGGAAUAUUGGACAAUGGGCGCAAGCCUGAUCCAGCCAUACCGCGUGGGUGAAGAAGGCCUUCGGGUUGUAAAGCCCUUUUGUUGGGAAAGAAAAGCAGCAGGUUAAUACCCCGCUGUUCUGACGGUACCCAAAGAAUAAGCACCGGCUAACUUCGUG